UGGGGAAUAUUGCACAAUGGGCGCAAGCCUGAUGCAGCCAUGCCGCGUGUAUGAAGAAGGCCUUCGGGUUGUAAAGUACUUUCAGCGGGGAGGAAGGCGAUAAGGUUAAUAACCUUGUCGAUUGACGUUACCCGCAGAAGAAGCACCGGCUAACUCCGUGCCAGCAGCCGCGGUAAUACGGAUGGUGCAAGCGUUAAUCGGAAUUACUGGGCGUAAAGCGCACGCAGGCGGUCUGUCAAGUCGGAUGUGAAAUCCCCGGGCUCAACCUGGGAACUGCAUUCGAAACUGGCAGGCUAGAGUCUUGUAGAGGGGGGUAGAAUUCCAGGUGUAGCGGUGAAAUGCGUAGAGAUCUGGAGGAAUACCGGUGGCGAAGGCGGCCCCCUGGACAAAGACUGACGCUCAGGUGCGAAAGCGUGGGGAGCAAACA
rnacentral:rRNA from 1 species